UAGAAGUCUCUAGCCUCGAAGGAUCUCUGCUCCAUAUCCGAAUCUCCUUGUCGGAAGAGCCACUGUAGAGGAAUUUUCCGGCUAGGGCGAGGGAGAAGACAUAGGAGGAGUGGCCUUUGAGAGUGGAAAUGCAGUGGUGGUGGGUGGUGAUGGCUUGUUCAUGCCGUCGGGAUUGGGAGGUGAGAGAAGGAACAGAUGGUAGACUUGGUUGAGAAGCGAGAGAGUUUGAUGAUUCUGAAUGAAGGCAUGAAGAAUCUGAGUGAAGGUGAUGUGCUUGUGCUUGAGCUUGAGCUUGAGCUUGAGCUCGAGAUUGAGAUUCUUUCUCUUUAUGGCAAGACAAGGGACAUCGGAGAAAUCCCAUUCUCUCUCAAGCCUUUC
rnacentral:lncRNA from 1 species